rnacentral:rRNA from 1 species
CCCUUAGAUGUUCUGGGCCGCACACGCGCUACACUGAAGGAGGCAGCGUGUACUCCUGGAUCGAAAGAUUUGGGUAACCCGCGAAUCUCCUUCGUGCUAGGGAUUGAGGUUUGCAAUUAUCCUUCAUGAACGAGGAAUUCCCAGUAAGUGCAAGUCAUAAGCUUGCGCUGCCUACGUCCCUGCCCUUUGUACACACCGCCCGUCGCUACUACCGAUUGAAUGAUUUAGUGAGGACUUCGGACUGGGACCGAUGCGGCUUUCGGGCUGCGUCGGUAUUCUGGAAAGAUGUCCAAACUGUAUCAUUUAGAGGAAGUAAAAGUCGUANCA